AAGCACUCUACCACUGAGCUACCUGCCCCCUAGCCCUCAGCUUUAAAAAAAAAAAAAGACAGGAAAUAUUCAAAACCUAAGAAAUGCUAACUGAACCUUUCAAACCCACUCCAUCAACUGAUAUUUCUCAGAAGCCUGAUAAGCCCCACAGCAAAGGCAUAACUACAGAAAUUUAAGAACUUUAAUAUUUUAUGACAUUGAAAAGACUUUAAAACCUGUAAUAGUAAGAAUAAAUUACGAUGAUAAGACAGAAGUGAAUUUUAUUCAAUAGCUUUUGUUCUAAAUUUAUUACACCAUCCAUUUUUUUAAUUAUUUUUGGUCCACUAGAGAGAGUCUGCAUACACUCAAAUGUUUGGAUAAAACAUUAAGUUGUCAUAAUUAAUGACUUCUAUUUGUAUUAAUAAGAAAUAAAUUAUAGCUGAGAGCAGUGGCACACCUCUGUAAUCCCCAUGGUUUGGAGGCUGUGACAGGAGAAUCACUAGUUCAAAGCCAGCCUCAGCAACUUAGCAAGGCCCUAGGCAACUUAGGGAAGCCCUGUCUCUAAAUAAAAUACACACACACACACACACACCCAAAAAAAAAAAAAAAAAAACGAGCUGGGCAUGUGCCUCAGUGGUUAAAUGUUCCUGUGUUCAAUCCCUAGUACCAAACUUAAUUAAUUAAUUACAGAGACCAUAAUCAAAAUGAAAAAGAAAUGCAUGCUUGUUUAAUGAAGUAGGUAAUACUCUAGAUGAUUUAUGCUAUCUGGGUGAAACUGAACAAUAUUCACCUGGUGUUUUAGAUUUGCACAUGACCUUGGUAAAAGCAAUGAAAUAGUAUACAGAAUUUCACUUUUAAGGUGGGCAUGGGGGAUGUAACUCAGUGAUGGAGCACUUUCCUAGCAUGGAAAAAGGCCCUGAGUUCAAUCCACAGCACUGAAAGAAAGAAACAAAACCUGAGAAUGGUGGCACAUGCUGUUUGUAAUCCCAACUACUUGGGAGGCUAAGGCAAGAGGAUUGCAAGUUCACGACCAGCUAGGGUAACUUAGUGAAACCCUGUUUCAAAGUAAAUUUUUUAAAAGAUGGGGGAUAUAACUCAGUGGUAGAUCACUUACUCAGCAUGUACAAGGCCCUGGAUUCAACUCCCAAUAGCAGAAAAAGGGGGAAAAAUCUCAUUUUUAUGGUUGUUAAAAAUUCAAACCUCAGUAUUAAAAUCACUGAAUAAAUACAGUAAUUAAAACUUUUCUAACAUGUGGUCUUAACAUCUGAAAUUCAGCUAAAUAAAAUUAUUGCUUUGAUGGAUUUGUAUUUAAAACAAUUGAAAUUUUUUACUUAUAUAAUGGAAUGUAGAUUGUAUAAAAGUUAAACAUGGGCAUGAUUCAUCAAAUGAAAUAUAUUUAUUCCAAAAUGUGGUACAGAAACUACUCUUAAAAUUUUUUUUUCAUUUUAAAUAUGACCAACUGUAAGGAUGGCCUUAGGCCUUACCUCAGCAACUCCAUUUUAAAAACUCUACUUGGCAACCUGUAGUCUCACCUGUCAUGUCUAUGGAGCCCUCCCAUAUGAUCAUCAGGCAUAGCCCUGACAUAAACAAGUCACUUCUCCCCACCCUGACAAGCUCAGAGUGAAGUCUCUGUCAUGUUGUCCUCAGAUGCUUUAACCCCAGGACAAAUGACAUCACUGAGAAAUCUGGUGGCAGCUGAUAGGGAUUGAAAGAAGCCCCCAAAUUUAGUAUAAAUGAUGGAGCAAAUGAACAGACAUUCAGCCAGCUGACACUGAUGCCCUCAUGCUGGAGAGCCUGAUGAGGACCUGGAACUGACAUCCCAACUCUUCUCAUUAUUUGCCUGAUCCUCUGCAUCUUCCUCACCAUUCUCAAACUCUACAGCCACAUCUUGGCCCUGGUGAGAACUGCAGCUUCUCCCUAUGACCCUUAACCAGCCAUCAGCUCCACCCCAGGGGAAGACUGCCUUGGUUCCUGAUCUGAUCACCGGGGCCUGAGUCAGUGUGCAUCUGCUGGACUUAAAGCCUAGGGCUUGAGACUUUUGAUCUGACACUUGAGCUUAGCAUGCAGAGGGAAUGUCUAUCAGGAGCCUCUGAUGAUUUAAGUGUGUUUGCAGUGAUUAGAAUUAAUCUAGAAUUGUUUGCUGUGAAUUGAUUAUGUCUAUUGCAGUGCCUAGCAUUAAGGAUUGUCGUUUUCUUGAUUAGGAACCUAUAGAGUGAAAUUGUAUUGCAUUAUUUGAAUGAAUAAAGCAUUGAAAAGGGCAAAAAAGCA
rnacentral:lncRNA from 1 species